ACUCUGGUCUCUCUAUCUUUUCAGCUCACUUCCUCUUCUUUGGCUUCACUCGACAACUCUUAGACUCAGACUUAGAACUCUUACAGGUUUUUAUUCAAAUUCAGAUACCUUGAAAUUCAGAUACUUUGAUACUCUGAUACUUUGAUAUUUUAAUAUUUUAAUAAUUCAUAUUUUGGUACAUUUGAUUCGAACAGAAUAGUUUAUUAGAAUUGUUUAUGUUUUAAUUACAAUUGUAUUAAUGUUUUGAUUAAUACUGGUUGGGUUCAAUCCAUCAUAAAUGGAUUGUUAUUAAAAAUGUACUAACAUUGGAUUUACAUUUUCUAUAUUUGAAGGUUGUUAUUAUUAUCAAGAACUUUAUUUCCAAGUUAUGAUGAUUUGUGGUUUCUGUUCUCUAUAUUCUUUUUAAUAAAUUUACCUAUUAUUACACCUUGACCGUCUGAAUUGGAUUAAAUUUUGCAUCACAUAGAUUUAAUUUUCUCCAUUCCGGUUCUUAGAGAUGCAUGUGACAGAAACAUUUACAGGAUCAGUAAAUCAAGCAGUAGUAUGUGUAAAAGUUUUUUUUCCAGGUAUAAAGAAAAAUAUUUUCUAAAUUAUGGUAACAUGACUAUUUUAUUCUAAACUGCAUAAUGCUGUUUGCUAUCCCGUGUGUUUGUUAGAUACAUGUAGUCAUCUAGUGCACUAAAUCUUCCUUAGUGCAUCCUAACACAUAAUUGCACUGAAUCAUUUUUAUUUUUAUUUGAUGUACACUUUAACAGACAAACAGAGUACUGCGACUGCAGAAAUGUCAUCUGUAAUGUUUUACCCUGUGGAUCCCAUCAAGUUAGGGCUUAAUUUAAGUCCAACAAAAAAAUAAAGGUAAAAAGAAAAUAUCAUCUUUCCUCUUUUUCAAGGUGUUGCUGGAUAUCAGUGUUAUUGAAAGGAAUGUAAACAAAUGCUAAAGUAUGCCAAGCAAUUAAUACAAUUUCAAUUUAAUUAAACAUCCUCCUAAUGCUGUUUAUGAUGAUGGUAUACCAAUUCACGUACUUAUAUUUUAUUCUCAGAUUUUACUGCCUUCUGUGCCCUGCGAGUGAACAGGCAUCUUUCAAAUGAAUUAAUUUAGAGUUGUUCUUGAGUCAAAAUUAUAUAAAUAAUUUACUGUAUAUUUCUACUGUAUAUUUUUGUAAUGCAGGAAAUGGCCAAUCAUUAUGUAGGAUGAUAAUGAUAAUUUUGGAGUGGCACCCAAGGUGAACAACAACAACAAUAUGGGUACUGUUUCAUAAAACAAGUUUACCAGAUAAGCCAGGCUUAUUUCAGUUAGUCUGACUUUUUUUUUCACUUGAUUUGGUUUCAUAAAGCAAAUUUAUCAUAGCUCAAGCUCAGUCACUCUGGCAGCUUAUGCUGGGAAACAAACCUGGUCCGGAGCAGGCUAAGCUGAUUUCCUCUAACACUGACCUGUAGGAACACAAUGAUAUUACCACUGACUCUCUCACAUACAAUUAUCUGACUUUAUCAUCAGUCAAAAAUAAAAGUAUACGAAAGUGCAACUCAAAUAAUAAAUCAAAUAAAUAAAAAUAUAGGCUACAAUUGACUACAUUUAGGCUAAUGUAUUGUGUCCAAGAUUUAUAAUGUCAUUGUUUUAAGAUAUAUGAAAACAAUAAUAAUAAUAAAGAAGAAGAAAAAUCAAUAAAUCUAUCAUACAAUCCAAAAUCCUAUAAAAUGUAUGAUUUUUGUUGUUGUUGUUGUUGUUGUUGGAUUUAAACUAUUAUUAAAAUCAUAAUAUUUGGCUGUUUCAAAUUAGUUGUAACAUGUGCUAUUAAUUGCAGGGAUUUAUUAUAUUUG
rnacentral:lncRNA from 12 species